rnacentral:rRNA from 1 species
UACGUAGGUGGCAAGCGUUGUUCGGAAUUAUUGGGCGUAAAGGGCGCGCAGGCGGUCUUCCAAGUCAGUGGUGAAAGCCCGGAGCUCAACUCCGGAACUGCCAUUGAAACUGUGAGACUUGAGGAUGAGAGAGGUGAGUGGAAUUCCCAGUGUAGAGGUGAAAUUCGUAGAUAUUGGGAAGAACACCGGUGGCGAAGGCGGCUCACUGGCUCAUAUCUGACGCUCAGGCGCGACAGCGUGGGGAUCAAACAGG